rnacentral:misc_RNA from 1 species
GCAUGUGCACACUCUGUUCACACAUCCACUCACACCUGUGCACCCUCCGUAGUUCUGUGGCCUGGGUGGGGCUCUGUCCUCCUGCCGUGGUUCUAUGUCUUUACACACACACACUAUAAAAAUGUCUCAUGGAAUGUAUGUCGCGUUUAACGCAAUGAAAUACAACUUUCAGCAACGGAUCUCUUGGCUCUCGCAUCGAUGAAGAACGCAGCGAAAUGCGAUAAGUAAUGUGAAUUGCAGAAUUCAGUGAAUCAUCGAAUCUUUGAACGCACCUUGCGCCCUUUGGCUAUUCCGAAGGGCAUGCCUGUUUGAGUAUCAUGAACACCUCAACUCUCGUGGCUUGCCAUGAUGAGCUUGGACUUUGGGGGUCUUGUUGGCCUGUGUGCCAGCUCCUCUUAAAUGAAUUAGCUUGCCGGUGUUUGGUGGCGCCAUGGGUGUGAUAAAUAUCUACGCUUGUGGUUUCCCACCAGCUAACCUUCAGUGAUGGAGGUUCACUGGAGCUUAUAAAC